rnacentral:rRNA from 1 species
GAGUUUGAUCCUGGCUCAGAUUGAACGCUGGCGGCAGGCUUAACACAUGCAAGUCGAGCGGAAACGAUGGGAGCUUGCUCCCAGGCGUCGAGCGGCAGACGGGUGAGUAACGCGUGGGAACCUACCUGGAGGUUCGGAAUAACUCGGGGAAACUCGGGCUAAUACCGGAUACGCCCUUACGGGGAAAGAUUUAUCGCCUUUAGAUGGGCCCGCGUUGGAUUAGCUUGUUGGUGAGGUAAAAGCUCACCAAGGCGACGAUCCGUAGCUGGUCUGAGAGGAUGAUCAGCCACACUGGGACUGAGACACGGCCCAGACUCCUACGGGAGGCAGCAGUGAGGAAUAUUCGGCAAUGGGCGCAAGCCUGACCGAGCCAUGCCGCGUGAGUGAAGAAGGCCCUAGGGUUGUAAAGCUCUUUCACCGAUGAAGAUAAUGACGGUAGUCGGAGAAGAAGCCCCGGUAACUUCGUGCCAGCAGCCGCGGUAAUACGAAGGGGGCUAGCGUUGUUCGGAAUUACUGGGCGUAAAGCGCACGUAGGCGGGAUUGUUUAGUCAGGGGUGAAAUCCCGGGGUUCAACCCGGGAACUGCUCUGAUAACUGGGCAAUCUCGAGUCCGAGAGCAGGGUGAGUGGAUUCCGAGUGUAAAGGUGAAAAUUCCGGAAAAUAAUUCCGGGAGGGAACCACCCCAGGGGGCGAAAAGGGCGGGGUUCAACUGGGGUCCGGAAACAUGGACACGCGAAGGUGCCAAAAAGCUUGGGGGGAGCACAAACAGGGAUUAAGAUAACCAUGGGUAAGUCC